rnacentral:rRNA from 1 species
CGUGAGAUGUUGGGUUAAGUCCGUAACGAGCGCAACCCUUGUCCUUAGUUACCAGCACGUUAUGGUGGGCACUCUAAGGAGACUGCCGGUGACAAACCGGAGGAAGGUGGGGAUGACGUCAAGUCAUCAUGGCCCUUACGGCCUGGGCUACACACGUGCUACAAUGGUCGGUACAAAGGGUUGCCAAGCCGCGAGGUGGAGCUAAUCCCAUAAAACCGAUCGUAGUCCGGAUCGCAGUCUGCAACUCGACUGCGUGAAGUCGGAAUCGCUAGUAAUCGUGAAUCAGAAUGUCACGGUGAAUACGUUCCCGGGCCUU